GAUGAACGCUAGCUACAGGCUUAACACAUGCAAGUCGCGGGGCAGCAUGGGGGUUGCUUGCCAUCCCUGAUGGCGACCGGCGCACGGGUGAGUAACGCGUAUCCAACCUGCCCUUCACCACGGGAUAACCCGGCGAAAGUCGGACUAAUACCGUAUGUUGUCCAUUGACGGCAUCCGAUUUGGACGAAAGGCUUAGCGGUGAGGGAUGGGGAUGCGUCCGAUUAGCUUGACGGCGGGGUAACGGCCCACCGUGGCUACGAUCGGUAGGGGUUCUGAGAGGAAGGUCCCCCACACUGGAACUGAGACACGGUCCAGACUCCUACGGGAGGCAGCAGUGAGGAAUAGUGGGCAAUGGGCGUAAGCCUGAACCAGCCAAGUAGCGUGCAGGAUGACGGCCCUAUGGGUUGUAAACUGCUUUUAUGCGGGGAUAAAGGGACCCACGUGUGGGUUUUUGCAGGUACCGCAUGAAUAAGGACCGGCUAAUUCCGUG
rnacentral:rRNA from 1 species